UUUUUCCUAGUUUAGGGUAACAGGUGAAGAAAUUGAAGAUCAGGGAAGUUAAAUGAUUUGCCUGAAAACUGCCACCUCACAGGAUUGAGAAUAAAAAUGAGGUAACAAGCAAAGAAUGUUAUAGUAACUCAUUUAAUACUCUGAAUUCAUAAUUGCCUUUGGCAAAAUAUUGGGGCAGAUAAAGCCUGUUUUCUUAUCUUGUCUUUCAGCUCCCCGCUUAUCUGUGAGUACCACUUAAAUUUGCAGCCGUGGGUUGCCAGGAGGGACCGUUGCCCAAGGUGCUGCCUUUAAGAAGGGAAUCUUCAUCAACUGU
rnacentral:lncRNA from 1 species